rnacentral:rRNA from 1 species
UGGGGAAUAUUGGGCAAUGGGCGCAAGCCUGACCCAGCAGCGCCGCGUGAAGGAAGAAGGCUUUCGGGUUGUAAACUUCUUUUAAGAGGGAAGAGCAGAAGACGGUACCUCUUGAAUAAGCCACGGCUAACUACGUGCCAGCAGCCGCGGUAAUACGUAGGUGGCAAGCGUUGUCCGGAUUUACUGGGUGUAAAGGGCGUGCAGCCGGGAAGACAAGUCAGAUGUGAAAUCCCGCGGCUCAACCGCGGAACUGCAUUUGAAACUGUUUUCUUGAGUACCGGAGAGGUCAUCGGAAUUCCUUGUGUAGCGGUGAAAUGCGUAGAUAUAAGGAAGAACUCCGAUUGCGAAGGCAGCUUACUGGACUGUAACUGACGCUGAUGCUCGAAAGUGUGGGUAUCAAACAGGAUUAGAUACCC